UACCGCGAAGAACCUUACCAGGUCUUGACAUCCUCUGACAAUCCUAGAGAUAGGACGUCCCCUUCGGGGGCAGAGUGACAGGUGGUGCAUGGUUGUCGUCAGCUCGUGUCGUGAGAUGUUGGGUUAAGUCCCGCAACGAGCGCAACCCUUGAUCUUAGUUGCCAGCAUUCAGUUGGGCACUCUAAGGUGACUGCCGGUGACAAACCGGAGGAAGGUGGGGAUGACGUCAAAUCAUCAUGCCCCUUAUGACCUGGGCUACACACGUGCUACAAUGGACAGAACAAAGGGCAGCGAAACCGCGAGGUUAAGCCAAUCCCACAAAUCUGUUCUCAGUUCGGAUCGCAGUCUGCAACUCGACUGCGUGAAGCUGGAAUCGCUAGUAAUCGCG
rnacentral:rRNA from 2 species